rnacentral:tRNA from 1 species
AUUCUUUUAGUAUUAAUCAGUACAGCCGACUUCCAAUCAGCUAGCCCUGGAUUCAAACCUAGGAAAGAAUA